CGUUAGCGGCGGACGGGUGAGUAACACGUGGGUAACCUACCUAUAAGACUGGGACAACUUCGGGAAACCGGAGCUAAUACCGGAUAAGAUAUCGAACCGCAUGGUUCGAUAGUGAAAGAUGGUUUUGCUAUCACUUAUAGAUGGACCCGCGCCGUAUUAGCUAGUUGGUGAGGUAACGGCUCACCAAGGCAACGAUACGUAGCCGACCUGAGAGGGUGAUCGGCCACACUGGAACUGAGACACGGUCCAGACUCCUACGGGAGGCAGCAGAA
rnacentral:rRNA from 1 species